rnacentral:tRNA from 1 species
GCCUUUGUGGUGUAAUGGUCAGCACACGCGUAUUCGGAAGAUCCAGGUUCAAUUCCCGGUGAGGGCA